rnacentral:misc_RNA from 1 species
CAAUAUCAGCAACAAUUUUAUCCUUCAAAAUAUUUGAGGGGGAAAACAGAACAUUUAUCAAUGAAUAUUUCAGAACAUAAUAGAUUUAUUGCAUUUAUAUACACAGUCAUCACACAAUGUUCCACUCCACCUUAAACAUAAAGAGAAAUAAACACAGCAUGGAAAAUGACAAAGUAUUUUCUUUUUUUUUUUUUAUGGUGCUCUUGUGGUGAAGAAAAGCCUUAUGAGUUAUAUGAACUUGAUAUUUCAUAAACAAGUUUGAUACCCAACCAAGAGGGUCUUAGAAGUAUAAUACAGGCUCUUGGCUUGGGUAUAUGGUUUUUCUUCUCUUCACAGAGAUGCAGACAACUCAGCGAAUAAACAGCCUUUUAUAAUUGGACAUAGAUAAGAAGGAAUCAUAAUAAAGUUGCAGCUGGGCCCUUUACUUUCUAAAUUAUUGAGGUAAUCAUUAGCAGCUACUUGGAAAAGGUAAACUAAGCUACAAAAGGCCAUUCAUCAGUAGUAGUACUGUGAGCAAGACAAGCUGGGCCACACUUUGGCUUAUUCAAUAUUUGGCUUGCUAAAAGCUUAUUGUGUCCAAACACAUUAGCUGGUUAAGUCUAGCGAAGUAAGAGUUCAUGAACUUCUAAGCCAAGGUCAGGGGAAAGUUCGAACAGUUUUGAGAUACCUGUCUGAAUACCUUGAGGGAUAUGUUGGCUAAGAAUUUGGCUUAUAUGGAAAUUUACUGUAGUAAGAGAUUCAAAAAGGACAGAAAUAUUCAUUAUAAUCAUUCCUAAAGUUAUUACAUUAUGUUAAUGUUGAUUAUUAAAAUUAAAAAUUUUAGAACAUUCAUCAGAAUAUAUCAAAAAUGAAACAUUUAUAAGCCAUAUUAAUUGUAUUGGUCCAACUAUAACUAAUUAAUAAAACCAGAAAAAUGCAAUGUUCAUUUAUCAUAAAAUUAUGUUGGUACAGGUUACAAUCUUACUUAUGUCCCUGUAGACUUUUGUAAGAAGUUGAAAAAGAUUUUUUUUUUUUUUAUUCCUUUCAAGGCAAAUAUCCUUCAUGUUUAACCCAAUUUAAAUAAACAAUAAAACAAAUUCAUAAACAAGCCUAAUAACAAAUACAUUUAUUAUAUUGUUUUAAAGCACAUUCCCAAAUCUAAAAAGUUAAAGUUUGGCUCAUUUACUGGACAAUUUUGAAAAUUAAGCUAGAAAUGGAAUUCUUUUGAUGCCAUUAAUAAACAGAUACAAUCAAGCUAUCAAGCCAACCUUCAAAUCAUUCACAUAUUGCUUGAGCCAAAAGAAUAGCACAAGAAAUUUAUAUUUGAGAACAAAGAUUUCUCAUUUUUUGAAGUUGCACAUAAUGAAUAAAGUUUCUCUAAAAAAUAUCAAAAAGAAACAUCUAUGAAAAUAUCACUUACUGUUUGCCAGAAUUUCCAGAUGAAAAAUUAGUGAAAACAUGCAUGAUUCUACUGAAAAGUCCAUUAAUGAAGGAUAGGUGAGGUGGGGACCCCUUCACCGCAUGUCUCAGGAUGAGAAUUCACUUUCACAAGUAACACAUUCUUCUACAAACAGCAUCAGCUUAUCACUUCAGAUUUUACAGAGAGAAGGCAAGCCUUCAGCCCUGCUGGAUUUGGACUUGAAACAGUUAAGCUUGGUUUUUACCAUAUCUCAUGCAAAAAUAGCCAAAGUUUUCAUUUCUGGAAGAGCAUCACUAGAAUGAAGAUUGCAUUUAUUGUGCAUUCUACAUGGAGAGAGCACGCUAAAAUUAUUGACAAUGGACUCUUUCCAAUGUAAUUGCAGCCAUCAAGAUUUGCCCAAAUCAAGAACAGUAAGCAUGACCAACCUAGUGAAAUUCAAUUAAAACCAAUGUUGUCAAAGGCACACCAGGGCCAGGCACAAGCCUCAGUGCCUCCAGGAGAAAAAGGAAAGCAAUGAUCAAGAGGCAUGUCUAGCACCAGGUUCACCUCAGGCACAUUUAGCUCAUCUGAGUGUGUUUGUGUUUAUUAUUAUUUUUUUUUCUCAGUUUUAAGCUAAGUACCAGAGGGUAGCUUUGGUGCGAAUGUAAAGUUACUCCAUUUGUGAUUUGGAGGUCAUGAGUUCGCGCCAUUGAAACAGCAACACACUCUUUGCAAAGCAAGGGUAAGGCAACGUAGAUCAACUCUCUCUAGCCACAAGUGUGGGAUGCUUUGGGGUCACCUUUUUUUAAGCUAAGUACAAACCACACCCAAUUCACUCACUGUCUGCUGUCCAUAGAGAUGGACACACCACUUUUUUUUUUUUUUCUUGUUCUU